CCUGAUGUUAGCGGCGGACGGGUGAGUAACACGUGGGUAACCUGCCUGUAAGACUGGGAUAACUCCGGGAAACCGGGGCUAAUACCGGAUGCUUGUUUGAACCGCAUGGUUCAAACAUAAAAGGUGGCUUCGGCUACCACUUACAGAUGGACCCGCGGCGCAUUAGCUAGUUGGUGAGGUAAUGGCUCACCAAGGCAACGAUGCGUAGCCGACCUGAGAGGGUGAUCGGCCACACUGGGACUGAGACACGGCCCAGACUCCUACGGGAGGCAGCAGUAGGGAAUCUUCCGCAAUGGACGAAAGUCUGACGGAGCAACGCCGCGUGAGUGAUGAAGGUUUUCGGAUCGUAAAGCUCUGUUGUUAGGGAAGAACAAGUACCGUUCGAAUAGGGCGGUACCUUGACGGUACCUAACCAGAAAGCCACGGCUAACUACGUGCCAGCAGCCGCGGUAAUACGUAGGUGGCAAGCGUUGUCCGGAAUUAUUGGGCGUAAAGGGCUCGCAGGCGGUUCCUUAAGUCUGAUGUGAAAGCCCCCGGCUCAACCGGGGAGGGUCAUUGGAAACUGGGGAACUUGAGUGCAGAAGAGGAGAGUGGAAUUCCACGUGUAGCGGUGAAAUGCGUAGAGAUGUGGAGGAACACCAGUGGCGAAGGCGACUCUCUGGUCUGUAACUGACGCUGAGGAGCGAAAGCGUGGGGAGCGAACAGGAUUAGAUACCCUGGUAGUCCACGCCGUAAACGAU
rnacentral:rRNA from 1 species